AAGGAGAAACUGAUUUGCUACCACAAUUAGUUAGAUGGUCCUUCAGUAUUGCUCAUCAGACAACAUUGGACAUUACACAGACAGAGGAAAGGAAUUUAAGGACCAAAGCCAUCUUAGAGUCUUGGGCAUCCCUCGUGAAUAUGAUCGUUAUUAAAGUGUUGAUACCUUUCUGUCAAAA